AUGAUUUGUAAUCGCAUUCGAGAUAGCCAAGGCUGUAUAAACGCCAUUCCCACAACCGGACGUAUCUUCUCCAAGCAACAAUUUUGAGAAUCUUUCUUUCAUUAUCUCAAUCUCUAUCCAAAACCGAUUGUCGUUCAGACGGUUGCGGUUGCAGGGAAAGAAGAUGAAUUAGGGAUAAGGGUUUGGUGCAGAGAGAAGAUGG
rnacentral:lncRNA from 1 species